AAACGAAGCUUUCUUUAGACGCUUCCAGGGAUUGGGGUCCCACCAAAAACUCAAGCAUAGCUGUGUCUGCCUGCGAAGAGCAUCAUUAUCCCUGGAGUGUCUUUUAAGGGUGUAUCUUAGCCUAAUUGAAAUUAAAAAAAAAAUGAAAAAUACAUCAAUAAGAGAGACAAUACGUCUCUUAAUCAAGGGAAGCAAGCAAGGGACGUCUCUUGUGGAACAGCUGUCCAAAAAUGAGUGGGGGAGGAGAGGUUUGGUGUUUCAACGCUUUCAGCUUCUCUCUCUCCCGAUUCCUCUAUCAAUCGAUUCAGGAACUAUUGCAAUGAUCCAGAAGCAGAUGGGUUGAAGGCAUCACAAGAUGGAGACAGAUAUGGAGAAUUCCGAGGAACUCAAAAAGUACAUCUUGGAGACGACGGCAUAUCCAAGAGAGCAUGGAGAGCUCAAGAAGCUACGAGAAGCUACGGUCCACAAGUAUGGCAAUUUGUAAGUCUGGCUAUACAAACUCCCUUCUCCAUGGAAUGCAGAGUUUUCAAUCUCCCAGAGCAGCAGUUUUUGGCAUACGUCACAAACGCAAGAAACUCUGGCCAAAACUCUGUUUCAACAGCGACCGUAUCCAUCACCAAACUCUCAUUUCACGGAAAUCACAAAGAGAGGCGAUGGAAAAGAUGGUCUUGGUGAUGCAGAUUGAGAAAGAGAGAGACUUAUUCUUGCCCUGUAUGUUUGCUUUUCUUCAUAUACAUGUAUGACCUUGAGAGUAGUUUGUUUACUGGUCUGGUCUAGUGAAAACACGUAACCAUACUUUAAAUGUGAAUUAGCAUGUAAAAUGUUCUCAGUGUUGAAAAUGAUGGUUGAACAAAAGGUAUAUAUGUUUAUUUGCAUGUAAAUGUUCUCAGUGUAGUGUUUGUUGUUGAUCA